UAACUGUAAAGGCGUAGAGAAAGCAACUGGCGUUUGCAUGGCUACUGAGCAUUACUGAUAGGACCCGAAAGGUGGUGAACUUUGCCUGCACAGGUGAAAGUCAGGGGAAACUCUGAUGGAGGACCGUACGGGUUAUUGAUGUGCAAAUCAUUUUUCUGAUGUAGGUAAAGGUGCGAAAGACUCAUCGAACCACCUAAUAGCUGGUUUCCUCCGAAGUUUCCCUCAGGAUAGCUGUAAUGCAUUUAGUUAAGGGGAGUAGAGAUAUGGGUAGAGGUGCAGGGAGCCUUCGGGUUCUCAACUUAUUUCCAAACUUCGAACCUCCUUGUUAGGCAUUUACCUAACUGGAAAUGCUUAAAUGAAUUAGCGUUACAAGUGGGCUCUGACCGGUAAGCGGUCAUGGCGAAAUGGGAUGAACCAUACGUCUGAAUAAGGUGCCGAAAUGUACUAUCACUGAUACCAUAAAGGGAGUCCAUGUAUUUAGACAGCAGGUCGGUGCCCCUAAAAGCAGGUAUCCGCUAAAGAGUGUGUUAAAACUCACCUGCCGAAUACUAGGGCCCCGAAAAUGAAUGGCGCAUAUAGUACUACCGAUCUCAGACAUCAGUUCUAUUGAACUGAGAGUAGGGGGAUGUGGACAUUUUUGUGAAGGUGCAAUGUGAGUUGGACUGGAAGAAUGUCUAUUACAGAUCCUAAUUGAAGUAGCGAUUAUCCAGGCUUGUAUCCUGGGGGCUGAUGAGGAGUAGGGUUUCUGGACAACUUAAACAGAUCCAGAGUUAGUCGAUCCUAAUCUCAAUAAUGGGAGAAAGGGAGUACAGUUGAUAUUCUGUAACUGACAACAGUUCGCGGCAACGCAUACUAUUUUUCUCCGCCAAUCUUAUACCGUUGGUAGGGAUCUCUUUCCUACAUGACAGUACUAAUACCCAGGGAAACUGGUCAUCAGGCGAACUGCGGCGUUCUGCUGGCAAAACAUAGCUUCGGUUAUGUCAAUGGCUAUUGGAUUGGUCCAUGAAGCGAAAAAUAG
rnacentral:ncRNA from 2 species